AGCGAACGCUGGCGGCAGGCCUAACACAUGCAAGUCGAACGAACUCCUCGGAGUUAGUGGCGGACGGGUGAGUAACACGUGGGAACGUGCCUUUAGGUUCGGAAUAACUCAGGGAAACUUGUGCUAAUACCGAAUGUGCCCUUCGGGGGAAAGAUUUAUCGCCUUUAGAGCGGCCCGCGUCUGAUUAGCUAGUUGGUGAGGUAAAGGCUCACCAAGGCGACGAUCAGUAGCUGGUCUGAGAGGAUGAUCAGCCACAUUGGGACUGAGACACGGCCCAAACUCCUACGGGAGGCAGCAGUGGGGAAUCUUGCGCAAUGGGCGAAAGCCUGACGCAGCCAUGCCGCGUGAAUGAUGAAGGUCUUAGGAUUGUAAAAUUCUUUCACCGGGGACGAUAAUGACGGUACCCGGAGAAGAAGCCCCGGCUAACUUCGUG
rnacentral:rRNA from 1 species